rnacentral:rRNA from 1 species
AUGAGAUGGCGGAGAAGAUGUCAGUGGUGGAAGAGGACAUGUUAUAGAAGAUGUCGUGAGCGGUACCGGAGGAAAUGGUCAAAUGGGGUUCCUCGGAGCGGACAAGAAGGAUGCUGCAGCGGCAUUUAUUGGGUUCCAUUUCCAUCCAAAGAAGAACUUAUGAACAGUAUGUGCGCGAUCCAUUCAUUCUUUCGUUUGAUCCUUCCUUAUUCCCCUCAACCCAAAUUCGUUUUCUUUUGCACUUACGCAUGGUUUUUAUGGAUCAAUAAAUUUAGUGACAUUAAUGGCAAUGAUAUCCAUAAACUUCACAUUGUUGUUUUUCAGCAGAAUAUGAUGUUCGUCUCUUCUUCAUAUGGACUGCAAUAUGGUCGAUGGUAG